UGAGGAAUAUUGGGCAAUGCCCGCAAGGGUGACCCAGCAACGCCGCGUGGAGGAUGAAUGUCGUAAGAUUGUAAACUCCUGUUAGAGGGGAAGAAUAGUACCGGUUGGACCGGUAUAUGACUGUACCCUCAGAGAAAGCCCCGGCUAACUACGUGCCAGCAGCCGCGGUAAUACGUAGGGGGCAAGCGUUGUCCGGAUUUACUGGGUGUAAAGGGCGCGCAGGCGGGAUAAAAAGUCAGUGGUGAAAUCCUACAGCUUAACUGUAGAACUGCCUUUGAUACUUUUAUUCUUGAGUUCGGGAGAGAGAGACGGAAUUCCAGGUUUAGUGGUGAAAUACGUAGAUAUCUGGAAGAACACCAGUUGCGAAGGCGGUCUCUUGGUCCGACACUGACGCUGAGGCGCGAAAGCGUGGGGAGCAAAC
rnacentral:rRNA from 1 species